UCAUCAGUCACAGCCCAAGAACUGUUCCAAUUCAAAGUCCGUAUCUAGCCAAGUACAGUCCAAAUGUCUGGAUGUGUUUUAUCGAGGAUGCAUCGGGAGGUGACUUGAGUGGACUUGGGACAGCCAAGCAUCCCAGAAUGCAUUUCGCACCAACCAGUAGCAAUAGCGGAGGAGAAAGCGCACAACUGACUUCAAAACGACAGCCUUUUUAAUCUGGGUGAAGAGAUAUGUUCAAUGUACAUGCAGGAUACAUCCAGCCUUCUAGACAAGACACAGACCUUUGACAUGUUAUUGGAUGAGUUUGGAUGGGACAGCCAGAUUGGGAACACAUUAAAGGUGACAGAGUUGUUUCAGCAUACAGAUUGGGAUCAUGACGGAUACCUUAACUUCAGAGAGUGUGCAAUGUUCAUCAGACGCUUGAGCAAAGGCAUCAAAUGAAAAAGACACUCACACAUCGACCAAUCACACUAAACAAUCAAAGUGGUUAAAAAUUCUACUGACAUGUAAAGGAGGGGUAACAAGGCCAUAAAGCAUCUUGGCCAAAAAUUUACAAAUAAACAGUUUUUCUUCAUAAUUGUGAUUCUUGAUUUCACAAACUAUUGCACACAAAAUGAAAAUAACACAAGACAAUCAAAUUAAGUUAUUUCAAAACAGCAUAGACAUUGGUGCACUCAGGUGAAUGGGUCAAGCAGGUUAUAGAAUCAUUUUUGUUCCUGUUUUCUGCUAUUUGUGUGCAUAUAGGCCUACAUAUCUGGGCCUUUGCAAACUUGGCAAAAUCUUAAAAGGCACUUUCACAUCACAAAGGAAAUAAACCAGAGGUGGUUUAAUGUUAUUUUCAUGAUAUGGGGUGCCAUUAGAGAUAAAACUGCAACACUUCUUCCAUCUUGUGCUAUGGCAAGCCUACAUUUCUCUGUAUGACAGGAUUUGUAAGUUGUGGUACGUGUUCAUGGUGACACAAAAUUAUGUUCAAAAUUUAGUUUGGAAUACAUUUGAUGCAAAUGUAAAUGGUUAUUUUCAUUGGAUUGCAUUUUUAGUGUACAAACUACAAUCUAAUUUAAAACAGAUCAAAGAA